rnacentral:rRNA from 1 species
GGACUACCCGGGUAUCUAAUCCUGUUCGCUCCCCACGCUUUCGCGUCUCAGCGUCAGUACCGUCCCAGAGAGCCGCCUUCGCCACGGGUGUUCUUCCUGAUAUCUGCGCAUUUCACCGCUACACCAGGAAUUCCACUCUCCUCUUCCGGACUCUAGCCAUGCGGUUUCCACCGACGUCUCGAGGUUGAGCCUCGAGUUUUCACAGCGGACCUGCAUAGCCGCCUACACGCUCUUUACGCCCAAUAAAUCCGGACAACGCUUGCCCCCUACGUAUUACCGCGGCUGCUGGCAC